AAGGAUGUAGCUCAGUGAUAGAGUGCAUGCUUAGCAUGCAUGAGGUUCUAGGUUCAAUCCCCAGUACCUCUA
rnacentral:tRNA from 1 species